CGCUCUGAAAAAUGCAAAAAUAACUAUUUUUCACUUAUGAAUAACAUUGUACCUUUAGUGUUUUCAAUGAUGUGCAGCCUAUGCAUAUCUGUUUACAUCUCAAAAAAAGUGUUUUGGGGUUUCAAGGCCCCAUUAAAAUAGAGAUGGAGUGUUUAAUUGUUCUUAAACAAAUUUUGUUUUCAUACAGUCAGAAGGUCCCUUUUUAAUAUUUCCCUUACCAGCCAGAAACAACAACAAAAAAAAUAGCUAUUUGAUAAAACCAUUUGAGCACUGUAAAACCUAACUGUGGAAUUCACUAAAUGAAAUAAGUUCAUUUUAUUUGAAACUUUAAAAAAAGUUAAUUCAACUUAACAAAUUUUGUGAUGUGAACUCAAAAACGUAUUAUAUUAAGUAGAACUCAAACUAAAUAAGUCACUGUUAUUUUAACUUUAAUGGUUUAAGUUACAGAAAUUAAUUUAAUCUAGUAGCUUACGUCGUCUAUAAAUAAAUAACUAAAAGCUAUCAAAUAAACACAAACAAUAAUAAAUACAUUGAUCUGUUUCAUAUUAAGCCUACACACCUACAUUAAGCUACAUUUAUUCAUGUCAAAGUAUUACCCAAGUGCGUUUCUAGGCAACAAAAAUCGCGCCGGCGCCAUUUUCCCUCCUUCAGUCGCAGCAGGAGGACGGGCUCACGCAACGGUCAAGAAAAAUAACAGGUAAGCAUUUCUAACUACUUUAUUCAUAUUUGUGGCACUUUUGAACGUUUUCGGUUUUUUUCUCGUACCUAUUUAAUUGAAGAUUAACCAGCUCGGUAAUACUAAUUUGUUUAACGUUUGCUAGCAAACAGUCGAGGCGCCAGGCCGCCAGCCAACACGUUAUCCAAGUUAUCGACGGCAGGUGAAAUGCUGUGUUUUUGUACCCCACAGGCUCUGUGGUAAAUUAAGAAAUAUUUUUUUGUGCUUUCUCACAGUCGGACUCAGAUAACGCAACUUUUAUAUUUUGAGACGGUUGGCAGACCAUCUUCCACAUCUCUCGCGCGCGCGGCGCCGCAGAAACUACAGCAACAGAGCAAAGACGUUGAAAGGUGGUGUGAUAUCAACAUGGCUACAAUAAUAUGAGGCUGCAUUUUUUGGCUUUGAUGUCAUUCGAACUACGAUCUGGCGGGUCUUACUAUCUGUAAAGAAGAGUCUGCCGAUGUUUUUAAGACACAAGAAAAAGGAGCUUGACCAGGUGCAGAAGGCAACACUCACCAUCAUUGCUGUAGAGGAGGAAGAGGGAACUUUUUACCUUUUAACCCACUGGAUAUUUUGAUUGUCUUUGAAGAUGAGGUGAUGUCUGCCAAGUCCGUGCACUGCCUUUGGAGUACACUUAGUUCGUACAGAAAAUUGAAGACAAGCUGGUCUCACUUCAUAAGGAAUGGACCGAAAAAUCAAGCAUUUAUUUGAGCGUCAGGAGCGAGAACUGGAGAUGUUUGAUUCAGAGAGUGCACGACUAGGAUUCGGAAGCUUGGCCUCGUUUCACUUUCCCAAGGAUGAGGCCAGAUGAUCUAACAGAGGUGAAAGGGACUGUUCAACACUGAUGUCUUUGGACACAUUGUGCCUGCACUGUCCCUGAUUGUUGGAUUUACCAAGAUCAUCCAAACAGUGACCAUGCUGGAUCAAUAUCUUAUAACUCAUAUCAGCUGUGAGAAUUUCACUGAUAUUCUGAAAGGAGAAACUAAACAGCCACAAACACAAAAGUAGUUUGGUGGUGCAUCACUGAGCUCAUAAACCAAGAAGAAAUAUCUAGACAAACUGACCAUAAAUCUCCAUGCCAUUGUCCCACUUUUGGUUUUAAAUUAGUAAUUCAGGAUAUUUUAGCACAAGUAAGCACUUUGAUAUGCUAAGUACGAUCCCAUCAUGUUAGGUGGAAAUGAAGUGUGAAAUGCCUUUGGUGUCAUCAAAGGACAUUGCGAUUGUAGAAUGUGUCCUGCAUCUUCACCGUGGCUAUUAGCUGUUUUGUAUGUAUCAUAGAGAAUGUGACAACUGUUGAUGAAAACUUUACACAGAAGCAGAUUUUCAAGCAGUGUCUGAUGUUAAAAUAUGGUGAAUACAUUAAGAGCAUUUAAUUAAUUUCAUAUUGUGGAACCCACGCUUUAUUUCUUUUUACUUAGAAAAAGAAAAAAAAAAAAAGAAAAAAAAUGUAUUCAUUGUUUAGUAUCCUAAAUUAAUUGGCAUUAGUUUUAUCAGGAUGUGAACUUAUUACAUUGAAUCAGUUCUGUCAGAGUUACUGGUAUUAUUGCAUGCACUUUAAAAGACAAAUUCAGGUUGUGAAGUGGAGCAUGAAUCUGUCAGAGAUUUUAGCUGUGUACAAAUAAAAGUGGCCAUAACAGUUUUGUUAUCUUUGAUAUAAAUACCCGCCAAAUGGCUUUAAG